UCUUUUCUUUUGAUAAGAGAGUUUUUAAAACCAGUGUUAUUUAUGUAAGUUUAAGAGAAGUUUAUGUAUUAAAUUAUUGAUACUAAAUAGUUUUAUUAGGCUUAGACUUAAUUUUAGGUCAUUUUGGGGGUUUAGCUCAGUUGGCUAGAGCAUCGGCUUUGCAAGCCGAGGGUCAAGGGUUCGAGUCCCUUAACCUCCAUUGGGCUUAUGCCCUAAAUUGUAAUUAAGUAUGUUUUUAAGUAACUUUGUUAAAGUAAUUGUUGGAAUGUGAAACACAAGAAGUUAAAAUUUCUGGGUUAAGUUGAGAUCUGUUGAUAUUAAGAAAAAUGUCUAGAAGCAAGAGCAAGCUUUCGAUAAAACCCGAAGUUGUUUCGCUAAAGUGCAAGGAUUAAACAGGAUUGUAUUUUUCAGCAGCCUAUUUUAUAAACGAUCUGCAUUUAGUAAAUAGUUUUUAGUUAGGAAAUAAUGUAGAUUACUAAGUGUGAUGUCUGAGAGAAGGACAAGUAUUGUAGCGAGCUUAAAUCCUUAUUAUCGUUGCCAGUAUUUAGUGGUAGGGAUUCGGAUAAGAUUGCCAGUUAUAAGUUGGAGGAAGGCAAAGAUUGCAUUAAAUCGUUAUCGCUCUUAUGUUUUAGGUUACAAGUUUGCAACAAUAACUCAAAAAAGCCAAGCAAAAUACCAUAAAGCAGAUUUCAGUUUGGAUUUGCCCGACACUCAAUGGCAUGAAGUUGUAAUUGUUAGUAAUCG
rnacentral:misc_RNA from 1 species